UCCCAAGGAGAUUCCCUCUGCAGGGGACAAAUCAUAUACCCCAGGAAUGUAGCCCCUUGGAAAAAUAUCUGAUAUUCUUGGGAAUAUUGUAGGUGAACAAAUGUGCUAUUUUUGCUCUUUAAUUGUCAGUAUAU